rnacentral:tRNA from 1 species
GCUUGGAUGGCGGAAUUGGCAGACGCACGGGACUUAAAAUCCCGUGUUCCGUAAGGGACGUGCGGGUUCGACCCCCGCUCCAAGCACAA